rnacentral:rRNA from 1 species
GACGAACGCUGGCGGCGUGCUUAACACAUGCAAGUCGAGCGGUAAGGCCCUUUCGGGGGUACACGAGCGGCGAACGGGUGAGUAACACGUGGGUGACCUGCCCUCAGCUCUGGGAUAAGCCUGGGAAACCGGGUCUAAUACCGGAUAUGACUCCAUGACGCAUGUUGUGGGGUGGAAAGCCUUGUGCGGCUGAGGAUGGGCCCGCGGCCUAUCAGCUUGUUGGUGGGGUGANGGCCUACCAAGGCGACGACGGGUAGCCGGCCUGAGAGGGCGACCGGCCACACUGGGACUGAGACACGGCCCAGACUCCUACGGGAGGCAGCAGUGGGGAAUAUUGGACAAUGGGGGCAACCCUGAUCCAGCGACGCCGCGUGGGUGAAGAAGGCCUGCGGGUUGUAAAGCCCUUUCGGUGGGGAAGAAAAGUCUCGACCUAAUACGUCGGGACCUUGACGUAACCCACUAAAGAAGCACCGGCUAACUCUGUGCCAGCAGCCGCAGUAAACCUG